rnacentral:rRNA from 1 species
AGUGAACGCUAGCGGUAGGCCUAACACAUGCAAGUCGAACGGCAGCACAGUAAGAGCUUGCUCUUACGGGUGGCGAGUGGCGGACGGGUGAGGAAUACAUCGGAAUCUACUUUUUCGUGGGGGAUAACGUAGGGAAACUUACGCUAAUACCGCAUACGACCUACGGGUGAAAGCAGGGGAUCUUCGGACCUUGCGCGAUUGAAUGAGCCGAUGUCGGAUUAGCUAGUUGGCGGGGUAAAGGCCCACCAAGGCGACGAUCCGUAGCUGGUCUGAGAGGAUGACCAGCCACACUGGAACUGAGACACGGUCCAGACUCCUACGGGAGGCAGCAGUGGGGAAUAUUGGACAAUGGGCGCAAGCCUGAUCCAGCCAUACCGCGUGGGUGAAGAAGGCCUUCGGGUUGGAAAGCCCUUUUGUUGGGAAAGAAAAGCAGCAGGUUAAUACCCCGCUGUUCUGACGGUACCCAAAGAAUAAGCACCGGCUAACUUCGUG